rnacentral:rRNA from 1 species
CCUACGGGUGGCUGCAGUCGAGAAUCUUCGGCAAUGGGCGCAAGCCUGACCGAGCGACGCCGCGUGCGGGAUGAAGGCCUUCGGGUUGUAAACCGCUGCGAGAGAAUAUGCCGAUCCUUGGAGGAAGGGCCGGCUAAUCUCGUGCCAGCAGCCGCGGUAAUACGAGAGGCCCAAACGUUAUUCGGAUUUACUGGGCUUAAAGAGUUUGUAGGCGGUUCGGUAAGUGAGAUGUGAAAGCCCUCGGCUCAACCGAGGAAUUGCGUUUCAAACUGCCGGGCUCGAGGGAGAUAGAGGUGAGCGGAACUGAUGGUGGAGCGGUGAAAUGCGUUGAUAUCAUCAGGAACACCAGAGGCGAAGGCGGCUCACUGGGUCUUCUGACGCUGAGAAACGAAAGCUAGGGGAGCAAACGGGAUUAGAUACCCUAGUAGUC